UGGAAGCAGAACACCACUUUGAAAUAUGUAAAACCAGGGCAGCUUCCCAGGAUGUACAGCUCCUGCUAAACAAUAUUUCUAGAUGCCAGCACACUCAGCCAGCCUAAUUGUGCCAACAUAAUACAACGUGUCAUUUUUGCAUUAUAUUUUCACAUACAGAAUAGAGAGGCAAAUAGAUUCCUGAAUAUUUUUGAUGA